rfam:Heterocephalus glaber contig142229, whole genome shotgun sequence.
UAUAAGGACUCCUUAGAGUCCACAUACUGAUCCAUUAUGACCUUAU